GCCGUGGCGGGGGUGCUUACACAUGCAAGUCGAGCGGUAAGGCCCUUCGGGGUACACGAGCGGCGAACGGGUGAGUAACACGUGGGUGAUCUGCCUCGUACUUCGGGAUAAGCCUGGGAAACUGGGUCUAAUACCGGAUAUGACCACAGGAUGCAUGUCUUGUGGUGGAAAGAUUUAUCGGUACGAGAAUUGGGUCCCGCGGGCUAUUCAGCUUGUUGGUGGGGUAAUGGCCUACCAAUGCGACGACGGUUAGCCGGCUUGAGAGGGCGACCGGCCACACUUGGAACUGAGACACGGCCCAGACUCCUACGGGAGGCAGCAGUGGGGAAUAUUGCACAAUGGGCGAAAGCCUGAUGCAGCGACGCCGCGUGAGGGAUGACGGCCUUCGGGUUGUAAACCUCUUUCGACAGGGACGAAGCGCAAGUGACGGUACCUGUAGAAGAAGCACCGGCCCAACUACGUGCCAGCAGCCGCGGGUAAUACGUAGGGUGCGAGCGUUGUCCGGGAAUUACUGGGCGUAAAGAGCUUGUAGGCGGUUCGUCGCGUCGUUCGUGAAAACUUGGGGCUCAACCCCAAGCUUGCGGGCGAUACGGGCGGACUAGAGUACUUCAGGGGAGACUGGAAUUCCUGGUGUAGCGGUGAAAUGCGCAGAUAUCAGGAGGAACACCGGUGGCGAAGGCGGGUCUCUGGGAAGUAACUGACGCUGAGAAGCGAAAGCGUGGGUAGCGAACAGGAUUAGAUACCCUGGUAGUCCACGCCGUAAACGGUGGGUACUAGGUGUGGGUUUCCUUCCACGGGAUCCGUGCCGUAGCUAACGCAUUAAGUACCCCGCCUGGGGAGUACGGCCGCAAGGCUAAAACUCAAAGGAAUUGACGGGGGCCCGCACAAGCGGCGGAGCAUGUGGAUUAAUUCGAUGCAACGCGAAGAACCUUACCUGGGUUUGACAUACACCGGAAACCUGCAGAGAUGUAGGCCCCCUUGUGGUCGGUGUACAGGUGGUGCAUGGCUGUCGUCAGCUCGUGUCGUGAGAUGUUGGGUUAAGUCCCGCAACGAGCGCAACCCUUAUCUUAUGUUGCCAGCGCGUAAUGGCGGGGACUCGUGAGAGACUGCCGGGGUCAACUCGGAGGACGGUGGGGACGACGUCAAGUCAUCAUGCCCCUUAUGUCCAGGGCUUCACACAUGCUACAAUGGCCGGUACAGAGGGCUGCUAUCCGGUGAGUUGGAGCGAAUUCCUUAAAGGCGGUCUUCAGUUCGGAAUCUGGGUCUGCAACUCGACCCCGUGAAGUUGGAGUCGCUAGUAAUCGCAGAUCAGCAACGCUGCGGUGAAUACGUUCCCGGGCCUUGUACACACCGCCCGUCACGUCAUGAAAGUCGGUAACACCCGAAGCCGGUGGCCUAACCCUUGUGGAGGGAGCCGUCCGGAAAGGGGGG
rnacentral:rRNA from 1 species